GUGUGUGUGUCUGUAUUAAAAGGAGGUGAGAAACGGCCAGCCUGUCAGCACUCUAAUUAUCAUCCAAAGAGAGAGAGACUAUAAAAAGCCAAGGUCACAGCGUACGCUAUGGCAGAGUGCUGAUCAGAAGCAGAGGAAUUUGACAAAUGGAGUUGAGCGUGAUGGUGAUGGCUGACGAUAGGCCCGCUCUGUGCCUGCAUGUGUCCAAAUGAGGAGGAACACAUUGCUUACUACAUAUAGGUGUGGAGCACAUUACAGUAGAGAUCAAUAAGCGUGCGUGUGCUGGAGGUUGGCGGUGUCAGCAGUCCAGAAGACGUCUCACAGCUGGGGCGAAGAUGAGAGCAAACGGCACACUAGCUGCAUAUAAAUCACGUACACUCCUGUCCUUUCAUUGCUCCACACGCUUUCAUUUGUUCUGUGACUUGCUCCCUCACAGCGUCUUUCUGAGUCUCUCCCUUGAGAUAAUUCCAGUUGGCCCUCAGGGUUUUGAGGGAGAAA